UACAGAGGUCCCAAGCGUUGUUCGGAUUCAUUGGGCGUAAGGGGUGCGUAGGCGGCGCGGUAAGUCGGGUGUGAAAUCUCGGAGCUUAACUCCGAAACUGCAUUCGAUACUGCCGUGCUUGAGGACUGGAGAGGAGACUGGAAUUUACGGUGUAGCGGUGAAAUGCGUAGAUAUCUGGAGGAACACCGGUGGCGAAGGCGGCAUUCUGGACCAAUAUUGACGCUGAGGAGCGAAAGCCAGGGGAGCAAACGGG
rnacentral:rRNA from 1 species